rnacentral:rRNA from 1 species
GAUGAACGCUGGCGGCGUGCCUAAUACAUGCAAGUCGAGCGAACGGACGAGAAGCUUGCUUCUCUGAUGUUAGCGGCGGACGGGUGAGUAACACGUGGAUAACCUACCUAUAAGACUGGGAUAACUUCGGGAAACCGGAGCUAAUACCGGAUAAUAUUUUGAACCGCAUGGUUCAAAAGUGAAAGACGGUCUUGCUGUCACUUAUAGAUGGAUCCGCGCUGCAUUAGCUAGUUGGUAAGGUAACGGCUUACCAAGGCAACAAUGCAUAGCCGACCUGAGGGGGUGAUCGGCCACACUGGAAGUGAGACACGGUCCAGACACCUACGGGAGGCAGCAGUAGGGAAUCUUCCGCAAUGGGGGAAAGCCUGACGGAGGAACGCCGCGUGAGUGAUGAAAGUCUUGGGAUCGUAAAACUCUGUUAUUAGGGAAGAACAUAUGUGUAAGUAACUGUGCACAUCUUGACGGUACCUAAUCAGAAAGCCACGGCUAACUACGUG